UCAGGUAAGGGACGGUUUCAGCAGGUGAAAUUGCGCAUGCUCCGUGCGAGUCCCGCUGGGGGCGGGAGAACAAAGCGGCUGCUGCCUCCGUGUGACCCGGCUGCAGAAUGUCUAUGUUUUGCUCCAGUUCAUCCCAUCCUCUCAUUGGACAGGGUAGAGAAAUGGCUGCAGAGGAGCCAGUUCAGGGGCCGGUGACCUUCGAGGAGGUGGCUGUGUAUUUCAC